rnacentral:rRNA from 1 species
UACGGGGGGGGUAAGCGUUGUUCGGAAUUACUGGGCGUAAAGGGCUCGUAGGCGGCCAACUAAGUCAUACGUGAAAUCCCUCAGCUUAACUGGGGAACUGCGUGUGAUACUGGAUGGCUUGGAUUUGGGAGAGGGAUGCGGAAUUCCAGGUGUAGCGGUGAAAUGCGUAGAUAUCUGGAGGAACACCGGUGGCGAAGGCGGCAUCCUGGACCAAUAUUGACGCUGAGGAGCGAAAGCCAGGGGAGCAAAGCGGA